CCUACGGGAGGCAGCAGUGGGGAAUAUUGGACAAUGGGCGAAAGCCUGAUCCAGCAAUGCCGCGUGAGUGAUGAAGGCCUUCGGGUCGUAAAGCUCUUUUACCAGGGAUGAUAAUGACAGUACCUGGAGAAUAAGCUCCGGCUAACUCCGUGCCAGCAGCCGCGGUAAUACGGAGGGAGCUAGCGUUGUUCGGAAUUACUGGGCGUAAAGAGUACGUAGGCGGUUAUUCAAGUCAGAGGUGAAAGCCCGGGGCUCAACCCCGGAACUGCCUUUGAAACUAGAUAACUAGAGUCUUGGAGAGGUUAGUGGAAUUCCGAGUGUAGAGGUGAAAUUCGUAGAUAUUCGGAAGAACACCAGUGGCGAAGGCGACUAACUGGACAAGUACUGACGCUGAGGUACGAAAGCGUGGGGAGCAAACAGGAUUAGAUACCCUGGUAGUCCACGCCGUAAACGAUGAUAACUAGUUGUUCGGUCACUUGGUGACUGAGUGACGCAGCUAACGCAUUAAGUUAUCCGCCUGGGGAUACGGUCGCAAGNUUAAAACUAGAAGUAUGCGNGNGAGNGCGACGAGACGACAGAGAG
rnacentral:rRNA from 1 species